rnacentral:rRNA from 1 species
AGUGAACGCUGGCGGUAGGCCUAACACAUACAAGUCGAACGGCGGCACAGCAAGAGCUUGCUCUUACGGGUGGCGAGUGGCGGACGGGUGAGGAAUACAUCGGAAUCUACUUUUUCGUGGGGGAUAACGUAGGGAAACUUACGCUAAUACCGCAUACGACCUACGGGUGAAAGCAGGGGAUCUUCGGACCUUGCGCGAUUGAAUGAGCCGAUGUCGGAUUAGCUAGUUGGCGGGGUAAAGGCCCACCAAGGCGACGAUCCGUAGCUGGUCUGAGAGGAUGAUCAGCCACACUGGAACUGAGACACGGUCCAGACUCCUACGGGAGGCAGCAGUGGGGAAUAUUGGACAAUGGGCGCAAGCCUGAUCCAGCCAUACCGCGUGGGUGAAGAAGGCCUUCGGGUUGUAAAGCCCUUUUGUUGGGAAAGAAAAGCAGCAGGUUAAUACCCCGCUGUUCUGACGGUACCCAAAGAAUAAGCACCGGCUAACUUCGUG